AUGAUCGACGACCCACCCGAAGAGCCGUCAUCACCAGUGCUCAUCAAGAGCCUGAUGCCCCGCAAGGAAUGGGCAGAGGACCUCUGUGUUUCAGUCAAGACAAAGGCAGCCUGCGGCUUCAUCAUUGCCCGCGACGGUCGUGUCAACCUCGAUCCCGAUGAUGUGGUGGCCAGGCUCGAGUGCAUCCUUGGCGGAGUUGACGUCCCCGAUGAAGUAGAACAUCGCCAACGUGAUAUCUUGAGGAUGCAGGUGAUCGACGGAAUUUGCUACCAGGCCGGAGACAUGGAAAUGGAGCGGUUCCGCGGAGUUGUCAUGCGCGCGAUUGCACACUAUCAAGCUCUUCUAGAAGAGGCCCAGCAGCCCCAAGAGCCUCCCAGCGCCAGCAGCUCCGUAGGCGGAGGCGGGUCGGGACACUUGGAGUGA
rnacentral:rRNA from 1 species